UACGAAGGGGGCUAGCGUCGCUCGGAAUCACUGGGCGUAAAGGGUGCGUAGGCGGGUCUUUAAGUCAGGGGUGAAAUCCUGGAGCUCAACUCCAGAACUGCCUUUGAUACUGAAGAUCUUGAGUUCGGGAGAGGUGAGUGGAACUGCGAGUGUAGAGGUGAAAUUCGUAGAUAUUCGCAAGAACACCAGUGGCGAAGGCGGCUCACUGGCCCGAUACUGACGCUGAUGCACGAAAGCGUGGGGAGCAAACAGG
rnacentral:rRNA from 1 species